rnacentral:rRNA from 1 species
CCUACGGGAGGCAGCAGUGAGGAAUUUUCCGCAAUGGGCGAAAGCCUGACGGAGCAAUACCGCGUGAGGGAUGAAGGAUUUUGGUCUGUAAACCUCUUUUCUCAAGAAAGAAGUUCUGACGGUACUUGAGGAAUAAGCAUCGGCUAACUCCGUGCCAGCAGCCGCGGUAAUACGGGGGAUGCAAGCGUUAUCCGGAAUGAUUGGGCGUAAAGCGCCUGUAGGUUGUUUAUUAAGUCCGUUGUUAAAGCCUAGGGCUCAACCCUAGAAAAGCAAUGGAAACUAGUAGACUAGAGUAUGGCAGGGGUAGAGGGAAUUUCUAGUGUAGCGGUGAAAUGCGUAGAUAUUAGAAAGAACACCGGUGGCGAAAGCGCUCUACUGGACCAUUACUGACACUCAGAGGCGAAAGCUAGGGUAGCAAAAGGGAUUAGAUACCCCUGUAGUCCUAGCCGUAAACGAUGGAUACUAGAUGUUGUGCAUUAUGUACAGUAUCGUAGUACUACGUACGUUAAGUAUCCGUCCGUCGGGUAGGUACGUCGUCGCGAGGUAGGAACGUACGAAAGGAAAGUUAGACGGCGUGAGUAACGUGCCGAGGACGACGACGAGGGGAGGUUAGG